rnacentral:rRNA from 1 species
GAUGAACGCUGGCGGCGUGCCUAAUACAUGCAAGUCGAGCGAACAGACGAGGAGCUUGCUCCUCUGACGUUAGCGGCGGACGGGUGAGUAACACGUGGAUAACCUACCUAUAAGACUGGGAUAACUUCGGGAAACCGGAGCUAAUACCGGAUAAUAUAUUGAACCGCAUGGUUCAAUAGUGAAAGACGGUUUUGCUGUCACUUAUAGAUGUAUCCGCGCCGCAUUAGCUAGUUGGUAAGGUAACGGCUUACCAAGGCAACGAUGCGUAGCCGACCUGAGAGGGUGAUCGGCCACACUGGAACUGAGACACGGUCCAGACUCCUACGGGAGGCAGCAGUAGGGAAUCUUCCGCAAUGGGCGAAAGCUUGACGGAGCAACGCCGCGUGAGUGAUGAAGGUCUUCGGAUCGUAAAACUCUGUUAUUAGGGAAGAACAAAUGUGUAAGUAACUAUGCACGUCUUGACGGUACCUUAUCAGAAAGCCACGGCUAACUACGUG